rnacentral:rRNA from 1 species
AGAAUGAACGCUGGCGGCGUGCCUAACACAUGCAAGUCGCACGAGAAAGGGGCCUUCGGGUCCUUAGUAAAGUGGCGAACGGGUGAGUAACGCGUAGGUAACCUGUCCUCGAGUGUGGAAUAACCUGGCGAAAGCCGGGCUAAUACCGCAUGAUGUCCAUGGGUCUUCGGAUUUGUGGACCAAAGGUGGCGAGCUUUGAGUGCUGUCGCUCGAGAAGGGGCCUGCGUCCCAUUAGCUAGUUGGUGGGGUAACGGCCUACCAAGGCUACGAUGGGUAGCCGGGCUGAGAGGCUGUCCGGCCACACUGGAACUGAGACACGGUCCAGACUCCGUACGGGAGGCGAGCAGGUGGGGAAUCUUGCGCAAGUGGGGGAAACCCUGACGCAGCGACGCCGCGUGGGCGAUGAAGGCCUCGGUCGUAAAGCCUGUCGAGUGGACGAAACGUGCGACGCUACUAACAUAGCUCGUGCC